UAAGUAAGUGGUGGAAAUUAAACCAAAUGGGAUAUCUUUAGUAAUUGCGAAUGAACAAGGAUAUGCUUAGCUUGACAAAUGGAGCUAUUGGCUUUGAAUUGUAUUUGUGGAAUGUAUUACCAACAGAGGUGCAGGUGCCAGCCUAUUAAAUAAAGCGUCAAUGAGGGUGAGAAUCCUGUUUGUCAUGUGCAGCCCUUUGUGCACGGUGUAUAUUUGCUGAGUCACACUCCUUGGCAUUGGAAUGCAAAGUGGGUGGUAAGUUUCAUGUACAGGUAAACAUGCAAUUGAGACUGAUAGCACACAAGUACCAUGAGGGAAAUAUGAAAAGGACUUUGAAAAGAGAAUUAAAUGAGUUUGUAUUUGCUGAACACAAAGUAAACAGACUUGAUUUGCUUGGUGGGAGUGUUGCACUUGCUUGACAAGAGCUUUGGGCUGUGGGUGUAAUGAUUCUUUCUUUGCAUGCCAGUUUCUAUGUGUACAUCUGAUUACCUUUGCACAUGAAUGAUAAGUCUCCUGUGGGGGGUGGAUUGCAUGUGCAUGUAAUGAUUUGUGUUUUGAUAAAUGUGUCUGGUGUAUGUGUGUGUGUUCCUGUGCUUGGGGAUGCUUCCUUCCUUGGACUUACAAGCCCUGACACACACAUGCUGGCAAAAUGCUUCUGCUUGACCCG
rnacentral:rRNA from 2 species